ACGGAAGGCAGCAGUGGGGAAUAUUGCACAAUGGGCGAAAGCCUGAUGCAGCGACGCCGCGUGAGCGAAGAAGUAUUUCGGUACGUAAAGCUCUAUCAGCAGGGAAGAAAAAUGACGGUACCUGACUAAGAAGCACCGGCUAAAUACGUGCCAGCAGCCGCGGUAAUACGUAUGGUGCAAGCGUUAUCCGGAUUUACUGGGUGUAAAGGGAGCGCAGGCGGUACGGCAAGUCUGAUGUGAAAGCCCGGGGCUCAACCCCGGUACUGCAUUGGAAACUGUCGAACUAGAGUGUCGGAGGGGUAAGUGGAAUUCCUAGUGUAGCGGUGAAAUGCGUAGAUAUUAGGAGGAACACCAGUGGCGAAGGCGGCUUACUGGACGAUCACUGACGCUGAGGCUCGAAAGCGUGGGGAGCAAACAGGAUUAGAUACCCUGGUA
rnacentral:rRNA from 1 species